UGGGGAAUUUUGCACAAUGGGGGAAACCCUGAUGCAGCGACGCCGCGUGAUUUAGAAGGCCUUCGGGUUGUAAAAAUCUUUUCUAUGGGAAGAAAAUGACAGUACCAUAGGAAUAAGGACCGGCUAAUUACGUGCCAGCAGCCGCGGUAAUACGUAAGGUCCGAGCGUUGUCCGGAAUCAUUGGGCGUAAAGGGUACGUAGGCGGGUAAGCAAGUUAGAAGUGAAAUCCUAUAGCUCAACUAUAGUAAACUUUUAAAACUGCUCAUCUUGAGGUAUGGAAGGGAAAGUGGAAUUCCUAGUGUAGCGGUGAAAUGCGCAGAUAUUAGGAGGAAUACCGGUGGCGAAGGCGACUUUCUGGCCAUAACCUGACGCUGAGGUACGAAAGCGUGGGUAGCAAACAGG
rnacentral:rRNA from 1 species